UUCCUUCCUUCCUUCCUUCCUUCCUUCCUUCCUUCCUUUCUUUGAAAUAUUGACAAGACCAAACAACAUGCUUUCUUUGAGGAGACAGCUGGUGUUGUCUUCAAAACUGUGUCAGAAGCUCGGACCACUUUGAGAGCUGUCUGUGCCUUCCUUGCCAUAUUCCUAGAGCCCCAGAGGACACAUGCUCUAGAGGUUUCUACUCUACCAUGAAGUACAGAUCCUGCCGUCUCCUCCAGGAAACCUUUCUUGACUACUGCAUAGGGAUUGUCUUAAUGUCCCUCUAUUCAUGCAGGGGGUGGCAAGCCUUCUUGUCUAUGUUUUGGAUUUUGAAGGCCACAUAAUAUCUCUGCAACAUAUUUAUCUUUGUUUCAUUGUUUAGUUUGUCUAUCUUUUUCUUUUCUUUGUAAUCAUUUAAACAUGUAAAAAACAUUCCUAGUUAGCUGACUUUGCAAAAGAAGCUGCAGGCCUGGUCUGGGUUUGCAGAAUAUCCUGUUUAAAUCACCACAAAAACAUAUUGCAAGUUGGUCCAAGAGCUGUGGUUUAUUGUUAAGGAAAAAACAAAACAAACAAACAAACAACAUUUUGCAAUUGUCUGUCUUUGCACUAUGUUUUGAGCUGGCAGAGACCAAGGGCUGCAUUCCACAGCUGGCCACAGCUGACACAGUGGUAGGGGAAUGAAUGAAUGAGUGAGGUUGUAGAAAGAAGCUUUUUUUUUUUUUGACACAUUCCAGCUGACUCUCCCUUACCAUGAUCUUUUUCCCCUAUGCACCUGCCUCCCCCAUGUUAGGAUCAAUUACCUCCCUGGGUGUCUCCCAGCCAGCCACUAGCCAGCCACUCUGCAGAUGUACAGCCACCUCCUACCACAUGGACGGCUGUCAUCUGUUCAGUUCCGGGAGAGGCCUGGAGACCACCAGGUGCACGAGCAAGCUUAGAGUUUAGAGCUGUGCUCUGUGUGCAUGCGGGGCUGUGUGGAGACGCUUGGCUGGGUGCCAACCUGUCACUGGGCAAUGCAGGGACCUGUUCUCAGGCCGGAUCCUGCAGGCUGAUCCUCACCACUUCUGUGGAGGACCUGAUUCACUUACCAAAAUCAUAUGAUUACAUUUUCAGCAUAAUUAGAUACCUAAUUACAUGGCUAAAUGGCUUUGAUCAGGCAGCACGUGUAAAUAAUGAUGAUUUAGUUAGGCACACUUUCUUACUGGGUUUCCAGAAAGCUCGUUGGUUGGUCAACAGGAUGAGAAAAAUGUUUUGCUUCCUUCAAUUAUUUUGAUAGGCAGACAGGGGUGGCCCUGCUGGUGUGGUGUCCAGGAGCCACGAGAGGGAGCGUGAGAGGGACUGGUGGCCUUUGGGUCCAGAGUCAAAGUCAGGGAGUGUUUUCACUUGGAAGUCAGGCAGAGGAUUUACCCAUAGGACAUGAGAAGGGGAGCCCCAGACCACCUGAACACAACAGGACCCCCAAUGUGUGCUCCAGAGCAGAGAUCACUCAACUUUAUUUCGAGAAGGAGAGAAGAGAACAUUGCUUCAUCACGUCUGAUGACUGGGGUGGAGCUCAGGACCCCCUAUGUAUAAAACAUAAGCAGACAUUCAUUCCUCUGGAUCUCUGCAAGCAAGCACUUGAGGUGCAAGCCCAGAGCCUAACAUGCCAACCAGUCCUAGCUGAGUGUCUCUGGCAGGAGGUCAUUCCUGCCUCUUGGCCAGUCACAUUGCCUCUGGAGUUUCAAGUUGCAGUAUCAUCACAUGUGAAAUGAAGAUAAAAAUACCUCCUGUCGGCUGCUAGCCGGUCAAAUGAGAUAACUGAAGCUUAGUGAGGCCUCUUUUCUGUGCUUCACAUCAGGGGGACAGACACCAUAACAGCAGAGUGGGUCAGGAUACUUCACAGAGUUAUUGAA